UUACGUGUGCAUGAACUCAACAAAUGCCGUUGAUGCGUCUGUAUCGAUUCGCUCGAUCGAGUCAUUUAUGUUUCGUCCCGAAGAAGAUCCGAAUCGUUUGUGAAUCUCAUCACUGUUAGAAAUCCAAGAGAAGAGAUCCUCUUCCCUUAACAUCAUCAGAGGAAAAACCUGCUUCUUAAUCAAUUAGUUUCAGUUUGUACCUCUCUCUCUGGAUCCAUGUCAUCCUACAGUCUCUUCUCGAGCAAGGCGUGGUGAGACACUUUACACAAAAUUUAUGUAAGAUUAAUGAAUUGAUUGUUUCUUCUGUAAUGUCACAGGUUCCUGCUCAUCAUUGCUGUUUUUCCAUUAAUGAAAAUUAAUGAUCUCUGUUCUGCCUUUUUUUUUCACACACAUGAGGAGAUAGCGUUUGGACUCAGGGUUUCAUUUGACUCUCCUGCUGUUUUUUUUUUUUUCAGCUGUAAUUCAUAACGUGCUCUGUGACCUUCUCCCUCCCUCAGGACUCUGUGGUCUGUGUGUUCUGGUGUCUGCUGAGUCACCAGAAAUCUGCCAAGACACUGACACUUGCGCCUGCUCCAACAUCUGGUGCAUAAGGGCUUUAAGGUUUCCAGAACCAAGCUGCAAUAUUGCAUGGACACUUAAGUAUUUGAACUUUUGAAGUUUUGAACUUUCUCAAGGCUGUCAUUCUAGACACAAAACCUCCUCCACUGCAACAUCCUUUGACCUGGACUGACGCUAUGGUGGUCGCUUAUCACUCCCUCAGAAGCACCCUUUGUUCCGCCCCUGGGUCACCUGCUCACUUCAAGCCCUUCCACCUCUAUGCCUGUGGACACCGGGGCACGGCCUCUGGGGAGCGUGAGGGGGGGAAAUGCAUCAUUGUGCGUUUUUAUCCAAAACAUUAGACAUUGUUGCUCAAGGCUUACCUGUGUGUCUGGGGGCUGUCUCCGCAUGUGCUUUGAUGGUUUUAGAUGCGGAAAAAUUGUUUUUUGUCUCACCCAUUGAUCUUGCACUCGUCACAUCAAGUUAAACAGGUGUUGCAAAAUUGACAGACCCAUUAAAUUAAUUUAUCAGUAAUAGGGGUCUCUAGGGAUCUUUGUUGAUGGUUCUUGUUCUAAACCCUCAGAUGGUUCUUGUUUUAUAAUUUAUAAUAUUAUCACACCUCUGUGGUUAUUCUGUGUGUUCAAUCAAUAUCAGCCUGAUAUUCUGCAUGAGACAUACGCUUUUUUUUCUUUUUCAUUUGAUUUUUGUCAUCUUGAUUGUGGACAAAUUCUCUAAAUGGGUAGAAGUUUUUCCCUGUUCUCGAGAGAACACGAAGGUAGUUUCUCGUUUUGAUACCUACGGUAGUUAUAAUAAUAAUAAUGAUACAUUUUAUUUAUAAAUGCCUUUCAAGGUACCUAAGAACACUGGACAGUCCUCAUCACGGGUUUCGUGGCUUCAUUGUUGCUCGGGGCAGGGCUACCCGCCCGAGCCUUCGUGACUGCUUCAUCUUUGCUCGGGGCAGGGUUACCCGCCCGAGCCUUCUGGACCACUUCAUUGCUCGGAGCAGGGUUACCCGCUCGAGCUGGACUUCAUUGCUCGGGGCAGGGUUACCCGCUCGAGCUGGACUUCGAGACAACAUCUUCUGGACUAACUUCGCUAACUGGACUGCACAAGCGCACACCACACGAAUGUGUUAUGUCUUUCAUCUGAUGCCGUUUUCUACUAUUAUUACACAUCUCUAUGCUCUGAAACUCUGUAUUCUUACAGGACUCUGUUCUCACUAUAGGUCGAUAUGCCUUCUAAUUUCAUUUUUCCCCUCACUGUUUUAGAACAAAUUACUCUGAAGGAAGUAGCGUGUAUCUGGGAAUUAAGAGGUUUUGAGUUUCUCUAAGCUCCGGUGAGGUGGGACGAGGGCUGAUUGGGCAUGCCCGCCCUCUGAGCACCAAUAUAUGUCAAGAAGGGCAAAGAUUAACUCAGGAUUAAUUUUUGAUGUAAUCAUAUAUGAUCAUGAGGUGAUAAUAGGAUUUGAUAAUAGUGAUGCUAUUAUCAAAGGGGGGGAUUGUUAGGGUUAUAUAAGUAUUAUUCUUAUUAUUCUUAUAAGUAUUAUUAUUAAAAUGGUGACAAAAUUAAGAGUUAACUUAAGGUUCAGUUAAAAAUGACCUUCUGUCUCGGCUGGACAUUGUUUGGGAACAUUUUGUUUAUGAAAUGUGUAUUUUGAACAGAGAAGUGUCUGAAGGACCCACCAAGGUCUGUUUUAGUGUCAGAUCGACCCACACACACUUUAAUGUUGGAUGUAAUGGUAGCCUUAUUGCUGAACAAAGAGUUAAGACUCUUAUAUUAUAUAUUAUAGUAUAUAUUAUAGUAUAUAUUAUUUAUAGUAUAUUUUAGAGCUUUUUAAGAUCCUUUAUUAUUUUGGACUAUUGCAUACACUAUGGCAGUGAUUUUAAACUGUUCCUGUGUAGCCUGACCUUCGUCCAGUGGAGAAGAACACUUCUUUGUUAGACCAAACAUAGUCUUUGUUUAAAACAUUGUCGUAAAAACAUCUCACGCGCUUUGACGUACGUAAAUGAAAUUGCUGAAUUGCUGAAAUAUUAUUUUGCUUAUGAUUGAAGGUUUCAUUCACACACACAUACAUAUGGAAUUAAGAUGUGAUUUGCUGACCUAGCACAUAGACACAGAUAUCAAAAUGAUGUCACUCACUCACACCCUCCCAUAGACACACACACACACCCCUCUCUGAGGUCACAUACAAACACACACACAUUUGACCGACACAAGAGCCGUUUGGAGAGAUUAUGAUUUGUUAUAAAAGGUGUUUGUAAUCUUUCAUCUUUGACGAAGUGACUGUGCGAAUAAACUGGCAUGUGAACAA